AACGAACGCUGGCGGCAUGCCUAACACAUGCAAGUCGAACGAGACCUUCGGGUCUAGUGGCGCACGGGUGCGUAACGCGUGGGAAUCUACCCUUGGGCUCGGAAUAACUCAGAGAAAUUUGAGCUAAUACCGGAUGAUGUCGCAAGACCAAAGAUUUAUCGCCCAAGGAUGAGCCCGCGUAGGAUUAGCUUGUUGGUGAGGUAAAAGCUCACCAAGGCGACGAUCCUUAGCUGGUCUGAGAGGAUGAUCAGCCACACUGGGACUGAGACACGGCCCAGACUCCUACGGGAGGCAGCAGUGGGGAAUAUUGGACAAUGGGCGAAAGCCUGAUCCAGCAAUGCCGCGUGAGUGAUGAAGGCCUUAGGGUUGUAAAGCUCUUUUACCCGGGAUGAUAAUGACAGUACCGGGAGAAUAAGCCCCGGCUAACUCCGUGCCAGCAGCCGCGGUAAU
rnacentral:rRNA from 1 species